GUGUUAAUAAAGUUUUGUGCCGUUAAAAUGGCUGUUUUAUGCAACGCACACAAUACGAUACGUCUACGGUAGGAAGUAAGUACAUAUCCAGAAGCUACACGCCCAAGAAAAAAGAAGGAUAUGACAGUGGUGUCAGAACAGGAGGAUAUGUCAUUCUGCAAAGUUCACGGAUAAAUGCGGAAGUCUCGGGUCUUCAGAAAGUAGGAGAUGGAAAUGGCAAUUUCAGGACUCAAAAAGUGGAAUUUUGUAACUGAACAAGAAAUUAUGCAUCUGAAUUAAAUUAAAGAGGAAUAAUUUAUGUUGAAAGAAAUGUUUAAUAAAGCAAAAUAAAUGCUAA